rnacentral:misc_RNA from 1 species
GUGAAUCAUCGAAUUUUUGAACGCAAAUUGCACUCUCGGCGGAGAGUAUGCCUGUUUGAGUUUGAGCCUAUAAAAAAUCGACAUCGUUGCUGUUUCGCAGUGGCGUUCGUCAGAAAGGGGUGCAUCUUAGAUCCUUUUGUUUUAAGCGACUUAAAAUUUUCUUUUGGUUCCAUGAACGUUUCUAAGAUCGAUUUCUUUACACUUUGAAGGUAUCGAUUUUUACUAGACGUCACCAUCAUAACGGAUAUCGC